rnacentral:rRNA from 1 species
UACGUAGGGGGCAAGCGUUUGUCCGGAAUCAUUGGGCGUAAAGCGCGUGUAGGCGGCUCGGUAAGUCUGCUGUGAAAGUCCAGGGCUCAACCCUGGAAAGCCGGUGGAAACUGUCGAGCUAGAGUCCGGAAGAGGCGAGUGGAAUUCCUGGUGUAGCGGUGAAAUGCGCAGAUAUCAGGAGGAACACCGGUGGCGAAGGCGGGUCUCUGGGCCGGUACUGACGCUGAGACGCGAAAGCGUGGGGAGCAAACAGG